rnacentral:rRNA from 1 species
AUUGAACGCUGGCGGCAGGCUUAACACAUGCAAGUCGAACGAGUGGCGGACGGGUGAGUAAUGCUUGGGAAUCUGGCUCAUGGAGGGGGAUAACGACGGGAAACUGUCGCUAAUACCGCGUACCAUAGGAUGAGCCCAACUGGGAUUAGGUAGUUGGUGGGGUAAUGGCCUACCAAGCUGACGAUCUCUAGCUGGUCUGAGAGGUUGACCAGCAAAUCCGGAACGGAGAAACGGCCCGGACUCCUACGGGGGGCAGCAGUGGGAAAUAUUGCGCAAUGAGGGCAGCCCUAACGCAGCCAUGCCGCGUGGAUGAGAAAGGCCUUCGGGUGGUAAAGUUCUUUCGGUGUUAAGGCGUUAAAUGCAGAAGAAGCACCGGCUAACUCCGUGCCAGCAGCCGCGGUAAUUC